ensembl:lncRNA
GGGUUAAGGUCGCCUCGCCGGCGGCCCCUGCUUGACUCUUGCUGAGCUCGGCUGGGUCUCUUCCGAGGAGGACGUUCGUGUUGAAGGCCCCUUUGUAGUACGGGGCUUACGGAGCCAGUGGCAGGGAAAAUAGGCAAGACUCUCAGAGAACCGAGAAAAGACCGGACAGUGAGUGGCCCUGCCCCGUGUUGGAACGUCGAGGACCCAGCCCGCUUAAAAGCUGCUCUAUUUUGUAGCCGACUUUCCUCCGUUUCACUGCAGACAAUCAACUGGAAGGAAUAAAAUCAACGUUACUGACUUCAAGCUUCCACGCCCAAAGGACACGACAUAUUUUGUUUGGGUGUUGGACUUUGAAGAUAAAAGGGUCUUUUUCGCUCUUCAUUUUUUUUUUCUUUUUUUCGGAGCUGGGGACGGAACCCAGGGCCUUGCGCUUGCUAGGCAAGCGCUCUACCACUGAGCUAAAUCCCCAACCCCGCUCUUCAUUUUUUAUUUAUUUAUUUGUCUAUUUAUUGCAGCCCUGGAACUCAGAAAUGCGGCCGGUUUUGCCCAAGUGCUGGGAUUAAAGGUGUACACCACCCCUGCCACGCUCUACACUACUCAUUGUUUUUAUCAUUUAGGUCAGGAGGCCUUUUUCUUUUGCAUUCUUCCCUCUGGUCGGCGAAUGUGAUAAGCUUGCCUGCGCAGAUUACAAUCUUCCAGUCAGGUCCCUAGGCUACGCAAGGGCCCUUGCGGGUCAGGUCAGUAGUUCGAGGAAACCCACCCCUGAGGGAAAGGUUAUCAGGUGAAGGAGAUCAGGAGAUAAUUUGUGCACAGCACUGGGAAAGAUUAUCAAGGGCUGUAAAAAAGCCAGCCGGGGCUGAAGUGUGCCUCAGCCUCCGGUCUACUCCAGGGUGUCUCAGUUCCCAGGCCUCUGUCGCUGAGUUGAACUUGGUACUGAUGUUCACACAUUCCCAAACUACAGAUCCAUUGUUUACCACGAGCCCCACUGCAGGAUUGGCAAUCGAUCUUGUCUUGGACUGACUUGCACAAAGACUAAAUAGUUUAGAAGUCGCAAAGUGUCCUAGGAUCUGCUCAUGGAUGAACCAAAACUGCUUGUACCAUGUGGAAAGUUCCACCAGCACCGUGUGGAAAUUUUCUAAGUUCAAGGCCUUUGUUAAAUCGGAGCCCAACUCCAGCUUUUCAACCUGAGCAAGCUAUUUACCCGGAAUACAUAACAAGGGCCAGGACUACUUAGAGAGAUCUGUCUUAAAAAAAAAAAAAAAAAAAAAAAAAAUUCCCAUUUUUUUUACUUA